UUUCCCGGCCCCGAACCCGAGCCGUGCUUUGGGAAGAAUCGUUCCUCGCGUCGCCGCCGUCGGAUUGAUCCGAUUUGCGCGCGAUUUGGUGAGUAAUCUCACUAAUCCUGGAUUAGUUGGCUAAUUAUGCUUUAGGUUGGUUUAGUUUUAAUUAAUUAUGUUUAGGUUGUUAGAUUAGAAGUAAUUAGCAAUUAUUAGUCAAUUGUGAUGCGAUUUAGAUAAAUUGAUUGUGCAAUUAACAAGUAGACGUGGUCUACUAUUUAUUGGGAGUGUCUCGGGAAUUUUCGGAUCCCUAAUUGAGCUUCAAUUUGGUGAUUCGGGCCUAAGUGAGAUUUUUGGCAUUUAAAUAUUAAUUAUCGGAAUUAAAUUAAAUAAUUAUUUAUUUUCCGAAAAUUUGAGGGAGAUGGUCUGGAACCGGAAUAUUAUGCUGAUGAUCGUGGCGAAGUCCGUUUAUUUGAUCGGACUUUAUUUUAAGCUAAAUUGAAUUUUUAAUAUUAAUUAAUUUUCGAAAUUAAUUAAAUAAUUAUUUAUUUCCUGAAAAUUCAACUGGGAUGGCCCGUGACUAGAAAAUUAUGCUGAUGACCGUGGCGAAGUCCGUUUAUUUAAUCGGGCUUUAUUUUGAGCUAAAUUGAGUUUUUAAUAUUAAUUAUUUAAUUCUAGAAAUUUAUUAUUUAUUUAUUUAUUUUUCGGAAAUUAAGUUUGAGAUGGCCGAUGACCGGAAUUUCAUGCUGAUUGUCAUGGUGUGGUUCGUUUAUUUAUUCGAGGCUUAAUUUGUGAGAAAUUGAAUUAUUAGUGAUUUUAGGAUUUAUUCCUAAAUUGAAUAAUCUUUGGUUAUUACUGAAGAAUAACCGGGCAUCGGUUGAUAAUGCCAAUAUAUUGAAAAAGUUGCCGAGUGGGGCCGUGAUACCACUACAUAUGAUAUUGCCGAGUGGGGCCGUGAUGCCACUACAUGCCGAGUGGGGCCGUGAUACCACUAGAUAUGAUAUUGCCGAGUGGGGCCGUGAUGCCACUACAUACAUAAUUGCCGAGUGGGGCCGUGAUGCCACUACAUAUAUAAUUGCCAAGUGGGGCCGUGAUGCCACUACAUGCCGAGUGGGGCCGUGAUACCACUACAUAUGAUAUUGCCGAGUGGGGCCGUGAUGCCACUACAUGCCGAGUGGGGCCGUGAUACCACUACAUAUGAUAUUGCCGAGUGGGGCCGUGAUGCCACUACAUGCCGAGUGGGGCCGUGAUACCACUACAUAUAGCAUUGCCGAGUGGGGCCGUGAUGCCACUACAUAUAGCAUUGCCGAGUGGGGCCGUGAUGCCACUACAUAUAAUAUUGCCGAGUGGGGCCGUGAUGCCACUAAAUCUAAGAAAAUUGCUUGGUGGGGCCAUGACUACCACUUAUAAUUAAGUUGUGUCCUAAGGACAAUGAUUCAUAAUUGAGAAUUAAAUUGGAAUAGUUGAAAUGAUCGGAAGUGGUUAUGUUGACAUGUGAUCGACUAGGUCGAUUGAUCGUUGCUUUGAUUUGACGUCGUGAAUUGAUUGAUUGAUUGGGAAUGACCAUGAGACGGUCUGAUUGACUUGUAAUCGACUAGGUCGAUUGAUCGAUGAUUCGAUCUGAGUGUGACUUAAUGUGAUUCAUUGCCUUGGUUGGAUGUUGUGAAUUGAAUGAUUGAAUGGAGAUGAUCAUGAAUGAUCUUCCUGGCAUAUAAUCGACUAGGUCGAUUUGAUCAAUGCUUCGAUAAAUGAUCUAAUUGCUUGGGUGCCUAUUAUGAAUUGUACUAACUUGCAGGUGGGAUAUGAGGCCAAGGUACGUCUUCUGCCCUAUGCGUGUAUAGGCAGCCUAUAGUAUAGUAGUUUACUAAUCGGGCUUAGUGGGGUAGAACUCGCUGAGACGUAGUCUCAUCCCAGUUUGGGGAAAAACAUUUCAGGACCCGAUAAGGAGCUGAGGAGGAGAAGUCUGGGAAGGAGAUCUUGGAGGUGAAAAUUGAAAGGAAGGAUUUUGAAAGAAGAAGAUAAUACCGAGAUGGGCCUUGAGUAUGGCAUGGAUGGAUUGAGAUCCUACCUUCUUUUGAGAUCUCUUUUUGAUGUGAAUAGUUUUGAAGUGGUUUGUGUUUUGUAUAAAAGUUUGGUUAUAAAUUUCAAUAUGAAAAAUAUGGCCCUGCUUUUCUAUCCCAUCGUUUUAUUGUCUGGGGAUUUUAAUUGCUUCCGCAUGUGCUUAAUAAAUGAAAGGGUCGGCGAUACUAGUCCUGGGAUAUCGCA
rnacentral:lncRNA from 1 species